AAUAUCUUGUCAUGGACUGUGCCCCGCUCGAGCCUCUCCACAGGCAGCCCGAAGGAAAGUGGAGGGAGCUGCUCCUUUCCGUAGCCGGGGUGCCCACCCCAACCAGGCUGCCUCUGCCACCCAAGACAGAGGUUCUCUGAUAAUAAUUUAUGGGGAUUGUUUCCAGAGACCACACCUGAAGCCGCCAACUCCCCGGAGGAAGGCCCUGAUUAAUGGCCGAUGAAUUUCUCCUUAAGGCCCUGAAACUGCCUACUCAGAACCAAGCCAGUUUUUCCUGCCUGUCCUGUUUGGGCAGCCAGAGGAGGCAGCUAGAAACCCAUUAUGCAGGGGAUGGGGACCAAACCAAUGCACAACUCCUACGUACUGAUGGUGGUCUUACGUUUCCCUAAGUUUCUGCCAACUAAACUGUGCACACGUUCUCAGGACCUCCUGAAGCUGCGUCACAGGCGCUGAUCAAAGAACACACCCAAAAGUUUGGCCUUUUCUUCAGCACUGGGAAUUGUGAUCCAAAGCUUUUCCUGGUGAAGCACAAAGUUGGAGAAACAAAACACAAACUAAACAACAAUGAAACAGAACAGAGUGAAUCUGCUGUAGCUCAAGAGAGGACGUAGCUGCCCCAACCCCACAUCCCUGGGCUCGGGUUUGCCUUGCUGACCUCUGCUGCCACCUGGUGCCCCACAGAGAAACUGAGGAGAAACCACAUCAGUCUCCUUCAGCCUCAGCUUCACAUCUGUGGGUCAAGUAACCCUUUCAGAAGCUGUAUAAUGUGGGAAAGCUUUCCUCUCAGGAAAAUGCACACAUCCAACUUUGAGAAGAUGCCCUUGGGGGCGCUUCAAGGAUCCUAGAUAAAGAAUCCCCUUUCCCGAACAUCCAAGAACCUAAGUUUUUUUUUUUUUUUUUUGAGAAAGUCUCGCUCUCUCUCCCAGUCUGGAGUGCAGUGGCGUGAUCUCGGCUCACUGCAAGUUCCACCUCCCGGGUUCACGCCAUUCUCCUGCCUCAACCUCCUGAGUAGCUGGGGCUACAGGCACCUGCCACCACACCUGGCUAAUUUUUUUGUAUUUUUAGUAGAGACGGGGUUUCACCGUGUUAGCCAGGAUCGUCUUGAUCUCCUGACCUUGUGAUCCACCCGCCUCGGCCUCCCAAAGUGCUGGGAUUACAGGUGUGAGCCACCGCACCUGGUCCAAGAACCCAAGUUUUAGAUCUAGAGUGAUGUCAGCAUGACAUUGAUUUCCUGAGGCCCAGGGGUGAAGGAGCUGAGGACAGCAGAGGGGUGAAGGAACUCAGCUACAGACAGCAGAGCUGAUGCACAGGCCUCCCAGCGCCUGCAGUCACCUGGAAUUGGGAAGUGCUCAGAAGCUUACAAAGCUGCCUCGAGAUGAUGAUUAUUCCCCACCUUCUAAGAGACAAAGACCAACGAGCCACCACAGCCACCAGUCCCAGAACCCGCCAAUGCUGGGGAACGGAAAAUAAGGGAGUUC